rnacentral:rRNA from 1 species
UCGAACGUAAGAUGACUGUAGGUGAAAGCUUACAUCUCUUCGGAGCAUUUUACGAGGUGCUGCAUGGUUGUCGUCAGCUCGUGCCGUGAGGUGUCGGGUUAAGUCCCAUAACGAGCGCAACCCCUAUCAUUAGUUGCCAUCAGGUCAAGCUGGGGACUCUAAUGAAACUGCCUACGCAAGUAGUGAGGAAGGUGGGGAUGACGUCAAAUCAGCACGGCCCUUACGUCCAGGGCUACACACGUGCUACAAUGGCCGGUACAAAGGGCAGCUACCUGGUGACAGGAUGCUAAUCUCAAAAGCCGGUCUCAGUUCGGAUCGGAGUCUGCAACCCGACUCCGUGAAGCUGGAUUCGCUAGUAAUCGCGCAUCAGCCACGGCGCGGUGAAUACGUUCCCGGGCCUU